rnacentral:rRNA from 1 species
CCUACGGGGGGCAGCAGUGGGGAAUAUUGCACAAUGGGGGAAACCCUGAUGCAGCGACGCCGCGUGAGCGAUGAAGUAUUUCGGUAUGUAAAGCUCUAUCAGCAGGGAAGAAAAUGACGGUACCUGACUAAGAAGCUCCGGCUAACUACGUGCCAGCAGCCGCGGUAAUACGUCGGGGGCAAGCGUUAUCCGGAUUUACUGGGAGUAAAGGGAGCGUAGACGGCGGUGCAAGCCAGAUGUGAAAGCCCGGGGCUCAACCCCGGGACUGCAUUUGGAACUGGGCAGCUAGAGUGGCGGAGAGGCAGGUGGAAUUCCAAGUGUAGCGGUGAAAUGCGUAGAUAUAAGGAGGAACACCAGUGGCGAAGGCGGCCUGCUGGACGAUGACUGACGUUGAUGCUCGAAAGCGUGGGGAGCAAACAGGAUUAGAUACCCGGGUAGUC